rnacentral:misc_RNA from 1 species
GCGAGUUCCGGCAAAUGGGACAGGUAGCAUUCAAUCGAAGCCAUUCAUCAAUGCAAUCAACAUGGAAGCAAUGCUGGCAUUCAGGAAUAGUCUUAAGCGUCUCCUUAGGUUUGUACUCUGACAAGCAUAUUGAGCAAAUGUUGUCCUCAGGCUUGGGCAAGCGUCGGCUCUCUCCAAGGACUAUUUUGGGAUAGGAUUCUAUGGUGGGUCCAUCCAGGCCUGCACUGACUGUGGGUUGUGGAUUAACUAUGAAAGCAAAUUCUGGAAGAGGGUGGCUCCUUCUUCUAGCGCA